CCUUGUACACACCGCCCGUCACACCAUGGGAGUGGGUUGUACCAGAAGUAGGUAGAAUAAUCGCAAGGGGUUCGCUUACCACGGUAUGGUUCAUGACUGGGGUG
rnacentral:rRNA from 1 species